rnacentral:rRNA from 1 species
GAUGAACGCUGGCGGCGUGCCUAAUACAUGCAAGUCGAGCGAACAGACGAGGAGCUUGCUCCUCUGACGUUAGCGGCGGACGGGUGAGUAACACGUGGAUAACCUACCUAUAAGACUGGGAUAACUUCGGGAAACCGGAGCUAAUACCGGAUAAUAUAUUGAACCGCAUGGUUCAAUAGUGAAAGACGGUUUUGCUGUCACUUAUAGAUGGAUCCGCGCCGCAUUAGCUAGUUGGUAAGGUAACGGCUUACCAAGGCAACGAUGCGUAGCCGACCUGAGAGGGUGGUGGGCCACACUGGAACUGAGACACGGUCCAGACACAUACGGGAGGCAGCAGUAGGGAAUCUUCCGCAAUGGGCGAAAGCCUGACGGAGCAACACAGCGUGAGUGAUGAAGGUCUUCGGAUCGUAAAACUCUGUUAUUAGGGAAGAACAAAUGUGUAAGUAACUAUGCACGUCUUGACGGUACCUAAUCAGAAAGCCACGGCUAACUACGUG